CAGCCGCCACGGGAAUACGUAGGUGGCAAGCGUUGUCCGGAAUUAUUGGGCGUAAAGGGCUCGCAGGCGGUUUCUUAAGUCUGAUGUGAAAGCCCCCGGCUCAACCGGGGAGGGUCAUUGGAAACGGGGAAACUUGAGUGCAGAAGAGGAGAGUGGAAUUCCACGUGUAGCGGUGAGAUGCGUAGAGAUGUGGAGGAACACCAGUGGCGAAGGCGACUCUCUGGUCUGUAACUGACGCUGAGGAGCGAAAGCGUGGGGAGCGAACAGGAUUAGAUACCCGCGUAGUCCCUGUCUCUUAUAA
rnacentral:rRNA from 1 species